GCUAGGUUGUAUUAUUAAUUAAUGCAAGAUCGACUACGUCGACUAAAGUUCUAGGUAAAAUAAUGAUGAUGACAAUUUUUUACCUUUAUGUCUUGACCAAGUCUCGUGCCAGCAGUCGCGGUAAUACGUGGAAGACUAGUGUUAUUCAUCUUUAUUAGGUUUAAAGGGUACCUAGACGGUAUUUCUAGCCCAAAAUAGGGUACGGAUUUACUAGAGUUUUAUGUGAGGAGGGGAGUACUCGUAGAGUAGAGAUGAAAUUUUGUUAUACUAUGAGGUAACUGGUGGCGGCGAAAGCAACCUUCUAUGUAUAAACUGACGUUGAGGGACGAAGGCUUGGGUAGCAAAUAGGAUUAGAUACCCUAGUAGUCCAAGCAGACAAUUCUGAAUGCCAUAGAUUAGAUUCUUUUUGGUCUAUAAAUGAAAGUGUAAGCAUUCCACCUUAGGAGUAAUGUGGCAACACAGGAACUGAAAUCAUUAGACCGUUUCUGAAACCAGUAGUGAAGUAUGUUAUUUAAAUUGAUGGUCCACAAAAAACCUUACCACAACUUGAAUAUUUUUAAUUAAUACAAGCGUUGCACGGCUGUCUUCAGUUAAUGUCGUGAGAUUUUGGUUAACUCCAUUAAUUAACGUAAACCCUUACUUU
rnacentral:rRNA from 1 species